AAUAGCGUAUAUUAAAGUUGUUGCGGUUAAAARGCUCGUAGUUGAAUCUGUGUGUCACGAUGCUGGUUCACCGCUCGCGGUGUUUAACUAGCAUGCCGUGAGACGUCCUACCGGUGGGCUUAGCUCGUCACGGGCGGUCCAACUAAUAUCCCAUCGCGGUGCUCUUCAUUGAGUGUCGAGGUGGGCCGGUACGUUUACUUUGAACAAAUUAGAGUGCUUAAAGCAGGCUAUUUUCGCCUGAAUACUGUGUGCAUGGAAUAAUGGAAUAGGACCUCGGUUCUAUUUUGUUGGUUUUCGGAACCCCGAGGUAAUGAUUAAUAGGGACAGAUGGGGGCAUUCGUAUUGCGACGUUAGAGGUGAAAUUCUUGGAUCGUCGCAAGACGGACAGAAGCGAAAGCAUUUGCCAAAAAUGUUUUCAUUAAUCAAGAACGAAAGUUAGAGGUUCGAAGGCGAUCAGAUACCGCCCUAGUUCUAACCAUAAACGAUGCCAGCUAGCGAUCCGCCGAAGUUCCUCCGAUGACUCGGCGGGCAGCUUCCGGGAAACCAAAGCUUUUGGGUUCCGGGGGAAGUAUGGUUGCAAAGCUGAAACUUAAAGGAAUUGUCUACCACA
rnacentral:rRNA from 1 species